UAAGACGUUCCAAAUGUCUCGUGCGGUUUGAAGAGGCGGGUCUUAAAAUGAAGUGAACAAUGCGCUCGCCCCAACGGUCGCACCGUCAACAUAUUAACUAUCUUUGGGUAUAAUUAUACGAGUAGCGAAUUGCAAGGCUACCGCUUGGGAUUUCUAUUUUUAGAGCGACUCUGAGCACUAGCGACAGUUUUCACUGGUACACCGCCCAAUCCCAGAAUGAAGUUGAGACAUCUGAGUUGUGUCCCCUCCUUUGUCAUAAUGCCAGCUAGUGUAAAGCUGAGAUUGAUCAAUGUACUCUAAGCUAACUAAGGACUGUGCUCUAGACCUGGUGUAUUCCUAAGGGAAUAGAGAGCCAACAGGUGAAUCACAACAAGCAACUACCUAAACAAAGUUGAGAAUCUGAGGGUGUCCUACCAAACCUAUCCUGUCCUGUUUGAAGAAUUCCAGGCCAAGAAAAGUGAUGCACAAACUUCUGCACUCUCUGCACAUUUACUUGUUUUUAAAUGUCUAAAAUUGUUUGAAAAAGUUUAAUUACUUACUGGUACCGUGUAUAUGUAUCCACAUUUCAACAAUGACAAAGUAAUUUAUUCCCAAGUCAAUAAAACAAUGUAUCAGUGUU